CCAACUAAAAUCUCCUCAACAAAAUCUUUAUAAGACUGUGUUUGUGUCUUCCAAUUAAAUGAACUGUAUUUACUUAACUACUACCAAACCAGCAAAAAAGAAAAUGGCAGCCAAGAAAAAUCAACUACUAGUUUUUGUGACAGUUGUAUUAAUGGUAGUUCUAAUAAGUACUCCAUGCUAUGCAUCCAGAGAUGAAAUCUGCAAAGACGUGAAUGCUUGCUUUGAGUAUUGUGAAGUUUAUGUAGAAGGGAUUACUCCGAAGCCGACCCGGGAGUGUUGUGACAACUUACUUAUAUUGAAUGGCAGGGUGAAAUACAUAGAUAACGGGGUUCGUAGGUAUUGUUACUGCAUAGAAGAUUUCAGUCAUAGUCACUAUCAUCCUCCUUAUCUCCAGUCCCGUAUUCUAAAUAUGACUAGAAUAUGCGGUAUUCAUCGUAGCUUCCCUAUCUCUGAGCACAUGGAUUGUUCUAAGCUUUAGUAAGAGACAUUGUUUGACGAAGACUAGCUGUUCUCUCUGGUCUGAUGCUAUAUAUCAGUUAAAUAAUUUUUAUUCUCUCUUUUCCUGAACUUUGAAUUGGAAGUAUAAUGAUAUGUAUAUUACACUAUUACAGCUAUAUUAUAUUUACAAGGUUAAGUUUGAAUAAGUGUAGCUUUGUGUGUAGAACUAAUGGCCAAUUCAAAAUUUAGACAUAGUGGAUUUUGAAUUGAGAGAAUAGAUUUAAAUAUAUGUAUAUAACUUCAUAUA